ACCCACAAGUUGAGAACCACUGCUCUAGAUCCUGUCUGAUCUUGGAAGUUAAGCAAUGUCAAUUCACUCUGGUCAGUACUUGGAUGGGCGUCCAGUAAUGAAUACCAGGUGUUGUAGGCU
rnacentral:rRNA from 11 species